GGGGUGACAUGGUGACACACCUCAAGGCAGUGACACGUCAUGAUCCCCAGGAGCCUGCUGCAGUGGGGCUGAGGCAGGUCCCCUGGGACCCUGUCACCUCCAUGCACUCAGCAGCCCCUGAAGCUAGAAGUCCAGAGCCUGGGAUAAGCACAUGCGCAAUAUGGAGCACAGAGGGAUCACUAUCUGGUAGUAAGUCCCGCAUCACCAGUGCGCAUGCGCAUCCCCCCGGCCCUGAGCUGUUGGUCAAUGGCUCACUAUUUGGCAGCUGCCACCCCGGCGCUGGGACCCCAAUCAGCCUGAGCUGAGAGCUGCACGCUCUCGUGGAACCGGGACCACGGAGGAGACUGUAGAGAAAGAUGGUUGAUUGACAAAUUCCUACAUGUACUGAAACUACCCAUUUUAUCAGUAUUUGGAAACAUGGAGAAUAUGGAAUUCCUCUUUAUGAUCAGACACAGUGGACUAUAAUUACAUCCACAUCUACUUUAUAGCUUUGCAGGCUGCUGAUUUAAAAAAAGCAAAGAUUUAAACCAGAUUGUACUAAGCCAAGUUCCUUAGUAUUACUCCAACAGAGGCCCUUCCAUGAAUACAUGGUCAUAGAUUAGAGCCAGAAGAUGGAGCGAAUAUAUAAAGAAGGUAGGUACAGAAGGCCAGCUUACCUUGAAGAAACCACAGACCUCAGACAGCUGCUGUUUGGGCCCCAGAAAACCAAAGGCUAGAACAGGACUGACGUGCUCCGAUACGGAGUAGAAAUGAGAGAUAAAGCCAUCUGGUACCUGUCAUGGGAAAGAAAUCCAGAUCUCAUCUUUGCUCCUACAGAGAAUUUACAAGCUAAUCCACUUUACAUUAGGCAUCCUCAUCUGAUAAUUGAAAUGCAUAUGUCCUGAGCACGACAAGGCAGCGCUGUGUUACCACAUACUGUUAAAACAGCUGCCACAGUCCACCCCAGAAAGGGCUGCAUUUAAGAGGUUGAAGUUGGGAAGAGAAGCUGCAAAAGAGACUUAUUCAGCCACUCCUCUUGCAAAGUUAGACACCCAUAAUUCAGAUACUUUCAGAUCUUACAGGACUUCUAUAUCUUGCUGUUUUUAAACUGCCCUUUGAUGGAGAAAGAAGUACAAGACAACUGAGGCCUGCAAGAGUCCUUCAGCUAUCAGGCAACCUUCAUGGUCUUUAACUUUCCAACUAACACAAGAAAUUGGACGAAGUAAUUUAAGUCCCCCGUGGUCUGAAUGAUUUUUAGUACUACAGCAGGGACCUGGAGAUGCUUCCACAUGA